rnacentral:rRNA from 1 species
UACGGAGGGUGCAAGCGUUGUCCGGAUUCACUGGGCUUAAAGGGUGCGUAGGUGGUUUGGUAAGUCGGUGGUGAAAUCCCCGAGCUUAACUUGGGAACUGCCAUUGAUACUAUUAAUCUUGAAUACUGUGGAGGUCAGCAGAAUAUGUCAUGUAGCGGUGAAAUGCUUAGAUAUGACAUAGAAUACCAAUUGCGAAGGCAGCUGGCUACACAAAUAUUGACACUGAGGCACGAAAGCGUGGGGAUCAAACAGG